rnacentral:lncRNA from 1 species
GUUGCUGGGAUUACAGGUGUGCACCAAUGCAUCCAGCAAGUACCUUGUAUUCUCAACUCAGGGUCUCAAAGAUAUAAAUGACUACAGAAAAAGCGUAAUUUUACAGGCCUUUCUUAAAUUGAUGUAUUCAUGAUAAUAUCAAAAUGAUGCCUAAAUGUAAACAUUAACUCUGAUUUCAAGCAUGUUUUGUAAUGUUUUCUUUCAUUCUUGGGUAGUUGUAGAUUAAUCAUCAAGAAAAUUUGUUCCUUUAUGAUUCUAAGACUCUGUAUUAUUUUCUAUACUAAUACCUUUUAAUUUAAUACUUCUGUUUAAAAUUUGCUCCAAUGUCAAAUCUUUCAGCAUAGCAGAAUCAGUUGGUCAUGUCCAAGAAAUAGUUUGUAUAGUAAAGCUUGAUGAAGCUCAUGAAUUUUAAAUGUCUAAAUUGGAGCCACUCCAAAAUAUAGGCCUUGGGUAGUCGCUCACCCUUUUAUGAGUGUGAAGUCCUGCUUCAGUGUUCAGUGGCUUGUUAAGUAGAAGCUAUGUCAUUAUAGUUUUCGUUCCUUCAACUGGGCCACCUAACUUCUUACUCCAUUUUUUUCCAAAGCCAUCCUGUUUUACCCAGAUUCAGGUAAUUGGACUGUUUUAUUGUGUUUCUUGUGUAAAAGGAGUGUCUUAAGUUCCAUCAUUCCUGUGGUUUCCGAAGAGAAAGGUAAAAAAUAAAGCAGAGUCUCUCUCCACUUAGUGCUUCUAAAUGGGUCCUUGUGGUGUUAAUCUGUGACGUGUGCCAAUGAAGAUAUCCACAGUCUAAAAGUACAUGUUGAUAAAUUGAGAUAGGCUAAACGGGGCACCUGUACCUUUUUAUGGAGAACAACACAGAAUAAAAACUUUUGAGGAGAUUGGAUAUGAUAUUGUUCAACUUCAAACUAACUUUUGGUAAAAAUGAAUUGAACCAGGUUUGAUUCCUCAAACUUCAUUAGGAACUGGGGCAGAGAAAGGAGAUAAAGAGGAAGACUGAAGAAAAUAUGACCUGUUUCAU